UUUUAAACAUUUGGCAUUUGGAAAGCAAACUAUUGUUGGAGAAAAAUUUUCAAGAAAACUUACCAUGAAGAAACUGCGAGGGCCUUGAACAAGCUGCUUCAGCUUGUGCUUGCGCAUCUCGGAUUCAUGACUGGGAUUUAAGAGAUCAACUGCCAACUACUUUGUUAGUGUUUUUCUGAUGAUUUAUAACAUACCACCAUCUUGUUAGUGAAUUGCUCGGGGUAGAAGCUGAGAUGUGUGUGCAGGGUUUCUUGUCUAUCUUCAAAAAGCAGUCACACCAAAGCUUUUGUUGUUACUCGUAAAUAGUGCAGCACUUUAAAGUAACGUUAUGCCAUUAAAAUUACAAAUGCAAGGAAAAUAUAUUUUAUUUAGGGAAUGAAAGGUUGUAGAUUAGCAUGCCCUUGUACUCAUUUGACACAUUUUAUAUUAAUUUAGUUUUUUUUAGCAUUUCAGGCUUGUGCAACAAUUCUAUGCUUUACUCCCCUCUUUAUAUUCUUGGUG